rnacentral:rRNA from 1 species
UACGUAGGGGGCUAGCGUUGUCCGGAAUCAUUGGGCGUAAAGGGUGCGCAGGCGGCCGAGUGUGUGAGGUGUGAAAGCCCGGGGCUUAACCCCGGAAUUGCACCUCAAACUACACGGCUAGAGCAUUGGAGAGGGUAGCAGAAUUCAUGGUGUAGCAGUGAAAUGCGUAGAUAUCAUGAGGAAUACCAGAGGCGAAGGCGGCUACCUGGACAAUUGCUGACGCUCAGGCACGAAAGCGUGGGGAGCAAAAGGG